AUGUUUCCCCAUCCUGCGAAUCUGAAAAACGUGAAGAAUAUGAACUGGUGUAAAUUCAUUGCCGACUUUCUCCACGAUGCUUUCAAAAACAAGAUGUACCAGAAGGGUUGUUGCCUGCAUUUAAUGCUUAUGUAUGUCGACUGUCUUGAUUUGUCCACCGUGGAUUUCACUGGGGUAGGAGGCCCGCCGCCUACGCACAAGUUUGUUGUUUCUGCAUGGACCAUCAGCGCUGUCAAGGCUGUGCUUGCUGCAGACAGGGCAACUGAUGGCACGUAUGGAAAACUACAGGUUAGUUUUUGUUUAUGUCUUUUUUUCACACGGCAUGCUUACAAAUUUGACACGACGCAACCGUCCGUGGUUUAUAAGGCAUGCUUACAUUUUCUUUUUUUGUUUUUCAUAGCUGAUGGCCAAGCAUGCUAUAGACUACAGCGUGUUUGGGGGGCCUCAAAAAUUUGA
rnacentral:rRNA from 1 species